GGCUAGGGGUGUUUCACAGGUAUUCAAGAAGAACCAGAAGUUGAUUGGAGGCCCUCACACCAGCUCUGGGAUGCUGUAGGAAGAGCACAUGAGCAGAGCAGAACCAGCCGAGAACACGCCCUGCGUUUUCAAAGUGGAGGUUUUGAUUACCACGGAGCACCGUAACUGACAAGCACCUUGUGAAGUAAUUAUUGUUGUGAAAGUAAAACCCCCACCGCUUGACACCGAGUGCACCGCAAAGCACGGCUCCGGCAGCUCAAGACGUGACACCGAGGGAGGUCUACCUGCAGCGUGGCAAGGAAUGCGUCCAGGGAGGAGGGCUAUGGGGUCUAACGGGCAAAGAGGGAAGUGUAGGCAGAGAAUGUUGAAGUCUUUGCCUCUGCAGGGCAUGAAAGCUCCUCUAGGAACCCAGCCAAGAUGUGGCAAGGCUCCAGCAAAAGAUCCUGUAGAUCAUUGUAAUGUGACUGUGCCUUACAACCACACAGUGUGUGCAAGAAAAGGAUGCUGAGAUCAGCUGAGCUUUGUCCUUUUAGAAAUUGGGAGCUGAUGUAUUUCCACGUUUGAGGACCUCUGACAGCUCGGUGAUGCUCACAAGCCCCUGUGCCAGCAGCAGUGGACAGGGAGACUGGAGAAGAGGGGGGUGUGAAUUUCUCCCUGUGCACAGCCCUCUCUGCCCUGUUAGCCAUGCAAAUUGGUGUUCCCGUCACAUCAUUCCCCAGUCUCCUUGGAUCCAAAAGUACAUCAGUACACAUUUUGCUUAAUUUAUGCUCAGUCUCCUGCAAGGAGCUUCUAUCCCCAAAAAACACAUUCAGAAGAAAAGGUCAGCUCUUCAGGGCCCAGCACUUUAUAAAGCCUGCAGCGAGAGGAUGUAAUAUUGCAGCUAGGGUGGAAUUGGUUUCUCUGUUACUGAAACCCUCUCAGGUCACUGGCAUGUUUGCCAGGCUUCAAGUAAUUAAUUUCUCUCCAUUUCCCACAGCACUUCCCACCCCCCCCACCACCCAACUCAGAGCUGCAAGUGCAGGAAGCCUUGUUGCUGGGAGGGCUCCCAAGCCUGGCAGUAGGACAUAACUGCGUUUGGAAGUGAUGUUUGACCCUCCUUGUUCACAGAAUCUUCACCAGUGGCAAGAGGAUGUUUCUGUUUGGAGGGGGGGGGAGGGAAAGCAACCCUCUUCACUGCUCACUGAACAGCUCAUUCAUUUAGCUCUUACUGCUUGGGUAGUACCAGGCAAUUUUGGAACCCAUCCCUGCCCAAAGUCAUUUCAUUUCAGAACAAAUCAAACUCUGGUUGUUUUCUCCCAAUUGUGUUUCUGGCUUUGUGAGGAGUGGAGGCUGUUCCAAACAAUGCCCUUCCUCUUGAAUGUUAAUGAAUAGUGGGGGUCUAUGGAGCUACCCGAGAUCUUCCCAGCACACUCAAUGUACUGGGCUUUCUUAAAGGAGGGGGUAGGAGAUUUGUUUUUUCCCUUCUUGGUUUAGCUUCGGUAUCUUUUUUUAAACCAGAUGUGGGUUUAGUAGCUCCCAGCUCCCCCCCAUGCUUAAGUACAUGGUGCUGAGACCUCUCCAAGGACAUCUUUCCUGUGGGAAGGGAGUUGGUCCAUUCUCCAGUGGGUUCACGAUUUCCAAACUCAGCAAUUAUGUACAGGGAAGCUUACAUGGAGUUGUGUAGUCGAGGGGGAAAAACUGGAUGUCAGACUGGGGUCCUGUCUCCUGAAAGGCUGGGCAAAGCCUUGAACUCCUACCGAGGGAAGCAUCCAAACGUCCAUGUGUUAUCAGCUGAGUUACCUCCCUAAGCUCAUUUGCAGAGAUGCAUUCAGAGAAGCAAUCUGCACAGAAAUUGAUUUGUCUUACUGGUUCAGUGACCAGAGCUGUGAUUUAAAAAAUAAAUAAAUAA